rnacentral:rRNA from 1 species
ACGUAGGUGGCGAGCGUUAUCCGGAAUCAUUGGGCGUAAAGGGUGCGCAGGUGGUACAUUAAGUCCGAAGUAAAAGGCAGCAGCUCAACUGCUGUUGGCUUUGGAAACUGGUGAACUGGAGUGCAGGAGAGGGCGAUGGAAUUCCAUGUGUAGCGGUAAAAUGCGUAGAUAUAUGGAGGAACACCAGUGGCGAAGGCGGUCGCCUGGCCUGCAACUGACACUGAGGCACGAAAGCGUGGGGAGCAAAUAG